rnacentral:tRNA from 1 species
AAAUACGUUAUUCAAGAGCAAGCUUCUAACUUAGCCCUUAAGCGAUGAAAUUUCGUUUGUAUUUCU